UUAGACGCUGGCAGCGUGCUUAACACAUGCAAGUCGAACGAUGAAGCAUUCUUCGGAAUGUGGAAGAGUGGCGAACGGGUGAGGAACACGUAAGAAUCUGCCCCUCGGUCGGGGACAACUUUUGGAAACGAAAGCUAAUACCCGAUACGCUGUGGAGUGAAAGAAUUUCGCCGAGGGAUGAUCUUGCGUCUGAUUAGCUAGUUGGUGCGGUAAUGGCGCACCAAGGCGACGAUCAGUAGCUGGUCUGAGAGGAUGAACAGCCACAUUGGAACUGAGC
rnacentral:rRNA from 1 species